GGGGAAUAUUGAGCAAUGGGCGAAAGCCUGACCCAGCAACGCCGCGUGAGGGAAGAAGGGUUUCGGCUCGUAAACCUCUGUCCUACGGGACGAAGGAAGUGACGGUACCAUAGGAGGAAGCCCCGGCUAACUACGUGCCAGCAGCCGCGGUAAUACGUAGGGGGCGAGCGUUGUCCGGAAUGAUUGGGCGUAAAGGGCGCGUAGGCGGCCUGCUAAGUCUGAAGUGAAAGUCCUGCUUUCAAGGUGGGAAGUGCUUUGGAUACUGGUGGGCUGGAGUGCAGGAGAGGAAAGCGGAAUUACCGGUGUAGCGGUGAAAUGCGUAGAGAUCGGUAGGAACACCAGUGGCGAAGGCGGCUUUCUGGACUGAAACUGACGCUGAGGCGCGAAAGCGUGGGGAGCAAAC
rnacentral:rRNA from 1 species